AUGACUGUUCCAAAACUCAGCGGCGACGAUCCUUCGUGGCCACUCUCCUUGCCAACCUGGUACAGUGGAGGGGCGAUGUCAGUUUACCAAAUCUUCUUGGGGAACAACAUCUAUAAUGAUGUCAUCGGGAGAAGCAUCACCAAAUUCCCUUGCUUCUGUGGGAGCGGUAGCUUUACAAAUGACAUCCUGGUAGUUAUCGGCGAAGUUGAUGAUUCCGAAUUAACAUCGAAGCUGGUCGCGGAAGCGGCAGAAUCUCGAACUAAGAGACCUUAG